rnacentral:lncRNA from 1 species
GGACGUGCCACUUUUAUGAACUAUAACACUCACUGCAAAGGUUUCCAGCUUUCACUCGUGAGUUCAGAGAUACCACAAACCCACCAGAAGGAACAAACAACUCCAGACAUGCUGCUUUGCUGCGUUUAAGAGCCGUAAGACUCACCGCGAAGGUCUGCGGCUUCGCUCCUGAAGUCAGCAAGAGCACGAACCCACCAGAAGGAAGAAACUCCGGACACAUCAUCUUUAAGAACUGUAACACUCGGCAGGGCAUUGGGGCUCACGCCUGUAAUCCCAGCACUCCGGGAGGUCGGGGGGGGGGGGGGGGGUGGAUCACGAGGUCAGGAGAUCGAGACCAUCCUCGCUAACACAGUGAAACCCCAGAUCUACUAAAAAUACAAAAAAUUAUUUUGGGCGAGGUGGUGGGCGCUUGUAGUCCUAGCUACGGGGGAAGCUGAGGUAGGAGAAUGGCGUGAACCGUGGAGGCGGACCUUGCAGUGAGCAGAGAUCGCGCCGCGAGACUCCGUCUAAAAAAAAAAAAUGAACACUUACCACGAGGGUACGCGGCUUCAUUCUGGAAGUCAGCGAGACCGAAAGCCUACCAAUUCUGGACACAAAAUGGGGUGGAGGUGGCAGAGAACAAUACUCGGUGAGGCUUUUGGGGGCCAUUAGGUGAUUCAUGUGAUCAAAGUGAAUAGUUCCUAGAUCAGGGACAGUCAAAACUUCCUAGGUACAUGAAGAAGCUGUUCCUCAAACAAAAUGUCACUUGGAACUGCCACAUUUAAGUGAAAGGGCAGUGGCUCUCCUUGGGGCUGGGGAGGGGGGUCUACAGCCACGUCCGGCUCUUAGGCAUUGUUAUUCCUUCUUCCCCAACUGUGGCCUCCAAGCCACUCUUGUAGAACCCCCCAGAGCUCUGAGGGUCCCAGUGGGAGAACCUCUGAUAGGAGGGAAGGAGUGAGAGAGUGCCCUGCUGCUCUUCCUCUCGCUUUGCUCCCUUAACUUGUGCUGUGCACAGCUCUUGACCUUUCUGAGAACAGACUGGCAUCUCUGGCCGCCCGCCCUCCUUCCCUCCCUCCUCACCAACCCUGACUGGCAGAGGUUCUCUGCGUAUCUGACUCAGUGAGCAACCUUCCUUAAGGCAAGGCCCUUUAUUUACCCCUCCGCCUCCCAUUUUGGCACCUCGGUGGCUAUAAAUACGCCCUGUGAAUGCAAUUACGUGAUGGAACGCAGGCUGCGCCAAAGCCUCUUUGCUCCAGGCUAUGGUGUCAGCCAUUUACCUCUGUGAAGCAUAUAAAAAGACACGCGACUCAAGAGGCAACGCACACGCUGAGACAGAAAGCAAGAGCACAACGAAAAAUACAACAACAAACAAAACUCAUAAGACGGCAUUAUGAGUAUUCCCGGGAGAACAAAAAGGCUCCAAGAAGGUAACUCCCGUCUCUUGAGCAUACAAUAUGGUUUUUAUAAACUUCCAGGACUCUUUCCUACUUUUUUUUUUGCUGUUUUUACCAUAUCACCCCCACAACACAGUUUUUUCUUAAGGAAAUUAAACACAAAACACCUACUGUAUAUUUAAUUUAAAGAGGAAAAAAAACUUCAAACCUUUCAAUGUUGAAAUAUCAUUAAGCAGGGUGACGCAAAGCUGGAGAGGCCAGGAAAUUGAGUCUUUAACCUGCCACUCCUUCCCGAGCGUAUGGCCAUGUAUGUCAUUACACAGCACUCUGCUCCAGAGUAUAAAUUAAGCUUCAUUAUAAAGAUGAAGGCAGCCCAGGCCUGGAGUUUCGCAGGAUCUGGCUGCGGUGGGCUGGGGGGUAGUGGGUGGGCCCUGGCCCUCUCUCUUCUAGAGGUCACAGUAGUAGCACAAGGACCCCCACCUCCUUCAUCCUCGGGGGCUGCUGCGAGGCCUUCUCAGCGAAGCAUUGGCCAGGCUCUGGGAAGAGCCGAUGACCGGCUGUGCUUUCCAGAUUUGGAAACUUGGCUCAUACUUUUCCUUAAGCAGCCUCCAGCUUCUCUGCGUAUUUCAAAUCAUCUUGUCAUUCAAUGCCCAGAGCAAACGCCGUGGUCUUGCUGAAGCCACAUUUCUAACCGCCCAGCUAUUUCUUUCCCUCUGGCUCCUCCUGCAUGACCAAGAUUUUGAAUUGUGAAGUUGAUUGCCUGACUUCCCGGCAAUGUUUCUUCAUGUUGGACAGGAAUGCUGAAUGCUGAUGUUUCAUGUACAGAGGGAUUGUAACUCUACCCCUCAUGCAAGCCUGAACCUGGAGGGCACUCCUCCUGUGGAGAUGCAGUCACCCUGAAGUGUUCUAGAAAGGCUGUCUACAGAUGCACCCACACCAAGCUCCUGCAGGAGAAGCCCCACUAUGUCUGCAAUGGUGGGUGAGAGGAAGAAGAAGUCCUUUUCACCAAACCUUUCACAAGUACCAGGGCUGCUUGACUGUUGGGGUAGAACUGUAGGCUUUCCCCCACUGAGCCCAGCACUGCACCUGUGGCUCUGCUGAAUGAAAAUUUUCACAAGCAAAAGUUCUGAGACUCAACGUCUGCCAUGUGGAUUAUUUGUUCCCAUGGGGUGCUCCCUUGAUGUGAUGGACUUCCCCUUGCCCCAGGAGUAGGAGUCCCUCCCUGAGGGCCAAACUACUGUGAAUGCUGCUGCUCCUCUGAGUCUAGCCACCCAGUGGGGCUGCCACACUACACUCCAGGCUGGUGAUGAGCAAUAUCUGCAAGGGUUACAGUAAUGUGACCUGUCCUCUAGUCUCCCAGGAGCAGGUACCAGCACCAACUCUGAUGGGGGUGGCAGAGGAGUGAUAUAGAAUCUGUGAGAUACCUUGGUUAGAAAUAGCUGUAGAGUGUUGGCUUUUUCAAAUGCCAGCUGUAGUAGUGAUUCAUUAAUAGACUCAGAACCUUCUGGUUAGCCAGGAUGAUGCACGCGAU